ACUAUGGAGAGUUUGAUCCUGGCUCAGGAUGAACGCUAGCGGCAGGCCUAACACAUGCAAGUCGAGGGGCAACUUGAUUGAUAGCAAUAUUAAUUAAGCGACCGGCGCACGGGUGCGUAACACGUAUACAAUCUGCCUUCUACUGGGGGAUAGCCUUUCGAAAGAGAGAUUAAUACCCCAUAAUAAAUGAAAUAGCAUUAUUUUAUUUUGAAAGAUCCGUCGGUAGAAGAUGAGUAUGCGUCUGAUUAGCUAGUUGGUGAGGUAAUGGCUCACCAAGGCUACGAUCAGUAGGGGAUCUGAGAGGACUACCCCCCACACUGGUACUGAGACACGGACCAGACUCCUACGGGAGGCAGCAGUAAGGAAUAUUGGACAAUGGAGGCAACUCUGAUCCAGCCAUGCCGCGUGAAGGAUGAAGGCCCUAUGGGUCGUAAACUUCUUUUGUACGAGAGAAAACCAUUUCACGUGUGAGAUGUUGAUAGUAUCGUAAGAAUAAGGAUCGGCUAACUUCGUGCCAGCAGCCGCGGUAAGACGAAGGAUCCAAGCGUUAUCCGGAUUCAUUGGGUUUAAAGGGUGCGUAGGCGGAUUUGUAAGUCAGUGGUGAAAGCCGAUAGCUCAACUAUCGAACUGCCAUUGAUACUGCAGAUCUAGAAUAUAGAUGAUGUUGGCGGAAUAUGACAUGUAGCGGUGAAAUGCAUAGAUAUGUCAUAGAACACCGAUUGCGAAGGCAGCUGACAAAACUAUUAUUGACGCUGAUGCACGAAAGUGCGGGGAUCAAACAGGAUUAGAUACCCUGGUAGUCCGCACAGUAAACGAUGAUAACUAGUUGUUUGCGAUAUACAGUAAGCGACCAAGCGAAAGCGAUAAGUUAUCCACCUGGGGAGUACGCCGGCAACGGUGAAACUCAAAGGAAUUGACGGGGGCCCGCACAAGCGGAGGAGCAUGUGGUUUAAUUCGAUGAUACGCGAGGAACCUUACCAGGGCUUGAAAGUUAAGGAAUGAUUAUGAAAGUAGUCAGUCAGCAAUGACCUAAAACUAGGUGCUGCAUGGCUGUCGUCAGCUCGUGCCGUGAGGUGUUGGGUUAAGUCCCGCAACGAGCGCAACCCCUACUUCUAGUUGCUACCAUUAAGUUGAGGACUCUAGAGGAACUGCCCGUGCAAACGGUGAGGAAGGUGGGGAUGACGUCAAGUCAUCACGGCCCUUACGUCCUGGGCUACACACGUGCUACAAUGGGUACUACAGAGGGCAGCUACAUGGCAACAUGAUGCAAAUCUCGAAAGGUAUCCUCAGUUCGGAUUGAGGUCUGCAACUCGACCUCAUGAAGCUGGAUUCGCUAGUAAUCGCGCAUCAGCAAUGGCGCGGUGAAUACGUUCCCGGGCCUUGUACACACCGCCCGUCAAGCCAUGAAAGUUGGGAGUAUUUAAAGUAGGUAGCCGCAAGGCGCCUCCUAGAGUAAAACCGAUAAUUGGGGCUAAGUCGUAACAAGGUAGCCGUACCGGAAGGUGCGGCUGGAACACCUCCUUU
rnacentral:rRNA from 1 species